rnacentral:rRNA from 1 species
CCUACGGGAGGCAGCAGUGGGGAAUAUUGCACAAUGGGGGAAACCCUGAUGCAGCGACGCCGCGUGAGUGAAGAAGUAAUUCGGUAUGUAAAGCUCUAUCAGCAGGGAAGAAAAGGACGGUACCUGAGCAGCAAGCCACGGCUAACUACGUGACAGCAGCCGCGGUAAGACGUCGGGAGCAAGCGUUAGCCGGAUUUACUGGGUGGAAAGGGAGCGUAGACGGCAGUGCAAGUCUAGAGUGAAAGGCGGGGGCUCAACCCCCGGACUGCCCUGGAAACUGUACGGCUGGAGUGCAGGAGAGGUAAGUGGAAUUCCUGGUGUAGCGGUGAAAUGCGUAGAUAUUAGGAGGAACACCAGUGGCGAAGGCGGCUUACUGGCCUGUAACUGACGUUGAGGCUCGAAAGCGUGGGGAGCAAACAGGAUUAGAUACCCUAGUAGUC